GGAUGAACGCUAGCGGCAGGCCUAAUACAUGCAAGUCGAGGGGCAUCGCAGGUAGCAAUACUGGGCGGCGACCGGCAAACGGGUGCGGAACACGUACGCAACCUUCCUUCAAGAGAUGGAUAGCCCGAAGAAAUUCGGAUUAAUACAUCGUAAAAUCACAGUGUGGCAUCACAUAAUGAUUAAAGAAUUUCGCUUGAAGAUGGGCGUGCGCCUGAUUAGGUAGUUGGUGAGGUAACGGCUCACCAAGCCGACGAUCAGUAACUGGCGUGAGAGCGCGACCAGUCACACGGGCACUGAGACACGGGCCCGACUCCUACGGGAGGCAGCAGUAAGGAAUAUUGGUCAAUGGACGGAAGUCUGAACCAGCCAUGCCGCGUGAAGGAUGAAGGCCCUCUGGGUCGUAAACUUCUUUUAUCUGGGACGAAAUCAUCUUUUUCUAAGGAUGUUGACGGUACCAGAGGAAUAAGCACCGGCUAACUCCGUGCCAGCAGCCGCGGUAAUACGGAGGGUGCAAGCGUUAUCCGGAUUCACUGGGUUUAAAGGGUGCGUAGGCGGAUUUGUAAGUCCGUGGUGAAAUCUCCAGGCUUAACCUGGAAACUGCCAUGGAUACUAUAAAUCUUGAAUGUUGUGGAGGUUAGCGGAAUAUGUCAUGUAGCGGUGAAAUGCAUAGAUAUGACAUAGAACACCAAUUGCGAAGGCAGCUGGCUACACAAAUAUUGACGCUGAGGCACGAAAGCGUGGGGAUCAAACAGGAUUAGAUACCCUGGUAGUCCACGCCCUAAACGAUGAUUACUCGACAUUUGUGAUAUACAAUAAGUGUCUGAGCGAAAG
rnacentral:rRNA from 1 species